rnacentral:rRNA from 1 species
CUCUUUAUGAUUAUAGUUAUAUAAAGUAUAGCCUGCUCACUGACUUAUAUAGUUAAAGAGCCGCGGUAUUCUGACCGUGCGAAGGUAGCAUAAUAAUUAGCCUUUUAAUUGAAGGCUUGUAUGAAUGGUUGUACAAAAAGAAAGCUGUCUCAGUUUUAAAAAUUAAACUUAACUUUUAAGUGAAAAGGCUUAAAUAAAUUAGAGGGACGAUAAGACCCUAUAAAGCUUUACUGUUUAAAUUUUUUGAUAUUAGUUAUUAAGUAUAAACUUAUCUGAGUUUUGAUCAGUUUCAUUGGGGCGAUGAAAAUAUAAUAAAUUAACUGUUUUAAACUUUAGUUAUUACAAAUAUUAUUGUGUAUUAAAUGAUCCUUUAAUAAAGAUUAAAAAUUUAAGUUACUUUAGGGAUAACAGCGUAAUCUACCUUGAGAGUCCAAAUCGACAGGAAGGGUUGCGACCUCGAUGUUGAAUUAAAAUUCCUUUUUAAUGUAGCCGUUAAAAUAAGGAGGUCUGUUCGACCUUUAAAAUUUU